rnacentral:rRNA from 1 species
UGGUGGGUAGUUUGACUGGGGCGGUCUCCUCCUAAAGAGUAACGGAGGAGCACGAAGGUUGGCUAAUCCUGGUCGGACAUCAGGAGGUUAGUGCAAUGGCAUAAGCCAGCUUGACUGCGAGCGUGACGGCGCGAGCAGGUGCGAAAGCAGGUCAUAGUGAUCCGGUGGUUCUGAAUGGAAGGGCCAUCGCUCAACGGAUAAAAGGUACUCCGGGGAUAACAGGCUGAUACCGCCCAAGAGUUCAUAUCGACGGCGGUGUUUGGCACCUCGAUGUCGGCUCAUCACAUCCUGGGGCUGAAGUAGGUCCCAAGGGUAUGGCUGUUCGCCAUUUAAAGUGGUACGCGAGCUGGGUUUAGAACGUCGUGAGACAGUUCGGUCCCUAUCUGCCGUGGGCGCUGGAGAACUGAGGGGGGCUGCUCCUAGUACGAGAGGACCGGAGUGGACGCAUCACUGGUGUUCGGGUUGUCAUGCCAAUGGCACUGCCCGGUAGCUAAAUGCGGAAGAGAUAAGUGCUGAAAGCAUCUAAGCACGAAACUUGCCCCGAGAUGAGUUCUCCCUGAGACUUUAAGUCUCCUGAAGGAACGUUGAAGACGACGACGUUGAUAGGCCGGGUGUGUAAGCG